UGAGGAAUUUUCCGCAAUGGGCGCAAGCCUGACGAUGCGACGCCGUGUGAACGAUGAAGGCCUUCGGGUUGUAAAGUUCUGUCGCCUGCGAACAAGGUUAUAUUAUGAAUAAUAGUGUAACUUGAGUGUAGUAGGAAAGGAAGCACCGGCUAACUCCGUGCCAGCAGCUGCGGUAAUACGGAGGGUGCAAGCGUUAGUCGGAAUUACUGGGCGUAAAGGGUGCGUAGGCGGGGAUGUAAGUCAGAUGUGAAAUACCGUUGCUCAACAACGGCCGUGCAUCUGAAACUGCAUUUC
rnacentral:rRNA from 1 species